GACAGUGUAGUGCAGUGGUUUGACCAAUGGACUAACACUCAAGAGAAGUGGGUUCAAAUCCCUGCUCUGCCA